rnacentral:rRNA from 1 species
GACGAACGCUGGCGGCGUGCUUAACACAUGCGAGUCGAACGGAAAGGCCCUGCUUUUGUGGGGUGCUCGAGUGGCGAACGGGUGAGUAACACGUGAGUAACCUGCCCUUGACUUUGGGAUAACUUCAGGAAACUGGGGCUAAUACCGGAUAGGAGCUCCUGCUGCAUGGUGGGGGUUGGAAAGUUUCGGCGGUUGGGGAUGGACUCGCGGCUUAUCAGCUUGUUGGUGGGGUAGUGGCUUACCAAGGCUUUGACGGGUAGCCGGCCUGAGAGGGUGACCGGCCACAUUGGGACUGAGAUACGGCCCAGACUCCUACGGGAGGCAGCAGUGGGGAAUAUUGCACAAUGGGCGGAAGCCUGAUGCAGCAACGCCGCGUGCGGGAUGACGGCCUUCGGGUUGUAAACCGCUUGCGCCUGUGACGAAGCGUGAGUGACGGUAAUGGGUAAAGAAGCACCGGCUAACUACGUG